rnacentral:rRNA from 1 species
GACGAACGCUGGCGGCGUGCUUAACACAUGCAAGUCGAACGGAGUGGCGAACGGGUGAGUAACACGUGGGUGACCUGCCUUGCACUUCGGGCUAAGCUUGGGACACUGGGUCUAAUACCGGAUAGUGCAAGAGGAGCUCGCGGCCUAUCAGCUUGUUGGUGGGGUAAUGGCCUACCAAGGCGUCGACGGGUAGCCGGCCUGAGAGGGUGUACGGCCACAAUGGGACUGGGGUACGGGCCAGAAUCCUACGGGAGGCAGCAGUGGGGAAUAUUGCACAAUGGGCGGAAGCCUGAUGCAGCGACGCCGCGUGGGGGAGGAAGGCCUUCGGGUUGUAAACUCCGUUCGACAGGGACGCGGUACCUGUAUAAGAAGCACCGGCUAACUACGUGCCAGCCGCCGCGGUAAUUC